rnacentral:rRNA from 1 species
AUUGAACGCUGGCGGCAUGCUUUACACAUGCAAGUCGAACGGUAACAGGCCGCAAGGUGCUGACGAGUGGCGAACGGGUGAGUAAUGCAUCGGAACGUGCCCAGUCGUGGGGGAUAACUACUCGAAAGAGUAGCUAAUACCGCAUACGAUCUAUGGAUGAAAGCGGGGGACCGUAAGGCCUCGCGCGAUUGGAGCGGCCGAUGUCAGAUUAGGUAGUUGGUGGGGUAAAGGCUCACCAAGCCAACGAUCGGUAGCUGGUCUGAGAGGACGACCAGCCACGCUGGGACUGAGACACGGCCCAGACUCCUACGGGAGGCAGCAGUGGGGAAUUUUGGACAAUGGGCGCAAGCCUGAUCCAGCAAUGCCGCGUGCAGGAAGAAGGCCUUCGGGUUGUAAACUGCUUUUGUACGGAACGAAACGGCUCUGGUUAAUACCCGGGGCUAAUGACGGUACCGUAAGAAUAAGCACCGGCUAACUACGUG